UAGUUUAUAAAAUAAGUCUAGUUUUAAUAAAUUUGGCCCAAUUAUUUACAUAAGUACGGCAAGAAUAGCAAUUGAUCAUAUAGGCUCUUUUAAAUCUGCUUUGCUGGAACUUUUUAUAAGAAAUCUCAGAUUGAACUUCAAAGGCCUCUCGAGGCGAAAGUUAGGCUUUAUAUAUAUAAAAUAAAGCCAUAAGAACCUUAAGGGAAAGGGCAGAGGGGGAUUCUCCCUCUUCCCCCCCAGUUUUGGCGUAGCUGGCAGGAUCCCCACUGGCUGGCAAGUUGCCUUCUCUGGCUGGAAGAACUGCCUUCUCCUCGGGCUACUGCAGAUGAUGAGAUACAGGAACGCCUGACGAAAGCCGGCAAAAGGACACAAUUGGAAACACUGGUUAUAUUACCAAGGCUGUGACGGGAACAUCAUAUUUGCGAUAUAACCAUACAGCUUUUGAGGAAUGAAGAUUGGACUUUAUGAAAUAAAGCCAUAUGAAAACACUGGCCUGGUACCUUAUGUUCAGUGUUCCAAGCAGCAUUUACUGGAUAAGUAAAGAAUGUCACUUAUCUAGCAGGUACAAGGAAACUCGAAAUAUUUUGGGGGAACCUCAGAAGAGAGGAAUUCACCCAAAUCUAAAUGCUUCUUAUUAAAUACUUGAUUGCUUGCUUCCACAAUAUAUAAAGCCUAACUUUGGGAGCCCACCUGCAUCACCACCUUCUAAAAUGAACUUAAUUGAACUGAUCUAUUAUCAGGACUAAGAAAUGUGUUCAGUGAGAUGAACAUCCACCAACUCAGCUUCUGGACUAUGAAACUUCUUUAAGUUUCAAAAGGACUGUGAAACUUUUAGUUUCAAAGGCGGGACUGUGGGAGAUCAAGAUUUGGCCACCCUGAAAUAUAUCUCUUUACCUUGA